rnacentral:ncRNA from 1 species
UCAACGAUACCGCAAACCAUUCGAAAGGAUGGGACGCAAAGCCAAGGGCCUUCUGCACAGCAGGUGGUAGCCGGUUACCGAA